CAAAGAAUUUGGGCAUGACGAGCGUGGUUUUGGAUUUUUCAUGGGGAGGCCACGUGAGCCUUUUAAGCUGCCGUUAAAUAUGGAUGGAAGAGAGAGUUUCCACCGUCACGGCCUGAGAAAGUUGA
rnacentral:snoRNA from 1 species